rnacentral:rRNA from 1 species
UACGGGGGGGGCAAGCGUUGUUCGGAAUUACUGGGCGUAAAGGGCGCGUAGGCGGUCAACUAAGUCAGACGUGAAAUCCCUCGGCUUAACCGGGGAACUGCGUCUGAUACUGGAUGGCUUGAGGUUGGGAGAGGGAUGCGGAAUUCCAGGUGUAGCGGUGAAAUGCGUAGAUAUCUGGAGGAACACCGGUGGCGAAGGCGGCAUCCUGGACCAAUUCUGACGCUGAGGAGCGAAAGCCAGGGGAGCAAACGGG